GACCUGGUAGCACAGCGGUUAGUGCGUCUACUGAAGUUAUAUGGCAGGGCAGUACUAUAAGUAGAAGACCUCCGUUCGACUCGGGGUCAGGUCU